AGCGAACGCUGGCGGCAGGCCUAACACAUGCAAGUCGAGCGGCCGUAGCAAUACGGCAGCGGCAGACGGGAGAGUAACACGUGGGAACGCGCCCUUCGGUUCGGGAUAACUCAGGGAAACUUGGGCUAAUACCGGAUACGCCCUUACGGGGAAAGAUUUAUUGCCGAAGGAACGGCCCGCGUCUGAUUAGCUAGUUGGUGGGGUAAUGGCCCACCAAGGCGACGAUCAGUAGCUGGUCUGAGAGGAUGAUCAGCCUCACUGGGACUGAGACACGGCCCAGACUCCUACGGGAGGCAGCAGUGGGGAAUAUUGGACAAUGGGCGCAAGCCUGAUCCAGCCAUGCCGCGUGGGUGAUGAAGGCCCUAGGGUUGUAAAGCCCUUUCGGCGGGGAAGAUAAUGACGGUACCCGCAGAAGAAGCCCCGGCUAACUUCGUGCCAGCCGCCGCCGUAAUAC
rnacentral:rRNA from 1 species